rnacentral:rRNA from 1 species
GAUGAACGCUGGCGGCGUGCUUAACACAUGCAAGUCGAACGGAAAGGCUCCUGCUUGCAGGGGUACUCGAGUGGCGAACGGGUGAGUAACACGUGGGUGAUCUGCCCUGCACUUCGGGAUAAGCCUUGGAAACUGGGUCUAAUACCGGAUAGGACGAUGGUUUGGAUGCCAUUGUGGAAAGUUUUUCGGUGUGGGAUGAGCUCGCGGCCUAUCAGCUUGUUGGUUGGGUAAUGGCCUACCAAGGCGUCGACGGGUAGCCGGCCUGAGAGGGUGUACGGCCACAUUGGGACUGAGAUACGGCCCAGACUCCUACGGGAGGCAGCAGUGGGGAAUAUUGCACAAUGGGCGCAAGCCUGAUGCAGCGACGCCGCGUGGGGGAUGACGGCCUUCGGGUUGUAAACUACUUUCGCUAGGGACGAAGCGCAAGUGACGGUACCUGGAGAAGAAGCACCGGCUAACUACGUG